GGGGCUGUGGCCUAGUCAGGAAUGGCGACGGGCUCCAGCGGUAUAUGAUGAACAACGGGUCUGCUGAGUCAAUGGGGGUCGGACGCGAUCUCUGGAUUAUGAUGAUCCGUUGGAGCACUGAUAAUCGGAGAGACCCGUCGAUCGUGUGUUCGAAUCGCACCAGCCCCA
rnacentral:tRNA from 1 species